AGAGUUUGAUCAUGGCUCAGAUUGAACGCUGGCGGCAUGCCUUACACAUGCAAGUCGAACGGUAACGCGGGGCAACCUGGCGACGAGUGGCGAACGGGUGAGUAAUGCAUCGGAACGUGCCCAGUUGUGGGGGAUAACUGCUCGAAAGAGCAGCUAAUACCGCAUACGACCUGAGGGUGAAAGCGGGGGAUCGCAAGACCUCGCGCAAUUGGAGCGGCCGAUGUCAGAUUAGGUAGUUGGUGGGGUAAAGGCCCACCAAGCCAACGAUCUGUAGCUGGUCUGAGAGGACGACCAGCCACACUGGGACUGAGACACGGCCCAGACUCCUACGGGAGGCAGCAGUGGGGAAUUUUGGACAAUGGACGCAAGUCUGAUCCAGCCAUGCCGCGUGCGGGAAGAAGGCCUUCGGGUUGUAAACCGCUUUUGUCAGGGAAGAAACGCUCUGGGUUAAUACCUCGGGGUAAUGACGGUACCUGAAGAAUAAGCACCGGCUAACUACGUGCCAGCAGCCGCGGUAAUACGUAGGGUGCAAGCGUUAAUCGGAAUUACUGGGCGUAAAGCGUGCGCAGGCGGUUAUGCAAGACAGAGGUGAAAUCCCCGGGCUCAACCUGGGAACUGCCUUUGUGACUGCAUAGCUAGAGUACGGCAGAGGGGGAUGGAAUUCCGCGUGUAGCAGUGAAAUGCGUAGAUAUGCGGAGGA
rnacentral:rRNA from 1 species